GACAGAGGGUGCAAACGUUGUUCGGAUUUACUGGGCGUAAAGCGUGUGUAGGCGGCUUCGCAAGUUGGAUGUGAAAUCCCACGGCUCAACCGUGGACGUGCAUCCAAAACUGCGUCGCUAGAGUCCCGGAGAGGAAGGUGGAAUGCUUGGUGUAGAGGUGAAAUUCGUAGAUAUCAAGCAGAACACCUGCGGCGAAGGCGGCCUUCUGGACGAUGACUGACGCUGAGACACGAAAGCGUGGGGAGCAAACAGG
rnacentral:rRNA from 1 species